CAAGGCCGCUCAUGACCCACGGGUGACACGGGGGCUCACGUCCCGCAGGCGUGGAGGCAGCCCUGGCACGCGGGGGACACCGGGCUCCCGUCCCGCAGAUGACACCAGGCCCCGUAUCCCACAGGUGACACCGGGCCCGUGUCCCGUAUGUGACACCGGGCCUACGCCCCACAGGCGACGAGGGCCUCCUGCCCCACGAGUGACACCAGCUUUUAUCCCAGUGACGGGGCUGAGUUUAAUUCAAAUAAAAGGCACGACUCCCAUGUCCCACAGGCCGAGAAUGAGACAAGCUCCUUCGCUGAUGGUCCUUCUGUGUGACAAGAGUGGCUGUUUCCCUUUGGGACAGCGGAGCUGUGGAAUGGAUGUUUGAGGUCCUCCAAAUAUGUCAACGUCAUAGAUGACAUCGUGAUCCUCAAUGCCCUGCUCCCCCAGGAAUCCCCGGGAUGUUUUGUACCGUCGUAAAAUAUCCCCAACAUCUGAAUAAAGGCAAGUUCUGCUGGGAUGGAUCAAA